ensembl:ncRNA asRNA:CR43877 antisense RNA:CR43877
GCCACACCAAAAUGGGCAGAAGGAAGAACUUGGACAGGUUGGAUAUCAGCACCACUUUGAGUAUAAUUAAAGAAAAAUUUCGAAAGCCUAUUUUCUGCAUCCAAUCAAUACUCAGAGUGGCGGUGAUUAUUAGCAGCAAUAGAGUCAUGAACAUGUAAUCUGUAAAAUUGAGAAAUUGAUUAGGGGUAUAUGUGUAAAAGCCCUUUUCGUGGACAUGCAAAGAGGCAUUCGGAGGGUCGGGCAGUUUUUGGCGGCACAGCGCAAAGGAUUCCAGGAGCAGCACCACCAGCGAAACCUUCCAGUAGAGCUAUACAUAGCAUAUAUUUUAGAGCAUUACACCGAAGGGACAUUCUCACCUCGUCACCUUAAAGUCGCCAUUGUAUAUAAUGUGCCGGAAGGCGCACGAAUCUAAUAGCAGUGCAUCUAUUAAUAUGAUAAACUCCUCGAACUCAAUGUAUUUAUCCGUGAUUUGGUGACAGUUGUCCUGCGGAAUAGUAAUUAAGUUACACAAAUC